ACGGCUCAGUAACACGUGGAUAACCUACCCUUAGGACCGGGAUAACCCUGGGAAACUGGGGAUAAUACUGGAUAGGCAAUUUUUCCUGUAAUGGUUUUUUGUUUAAAUGUUUUUUCGCCUAAGGAUGGGUCUGCGGCCGAUUAGGUAGUUGGUUAGGUAAUGGCUUACCAAGCCGUUGAUCGGUACGGGUUGUGAGAGCAAGAGCCCGGAGAUGGAACCUGAGACAAGGUUCCAGGCCCUACGGGGUGCAGCAGGCGCGAAACCUCCGCAAUGUGAGAAAUCGCGACGGGGGGAUCCCAAGUGCCAUUCUUAACGGGAUGGCUUUUCAUUAGUGUAAAGAGCUUUUGGAAUAAGGGCUGGGCAAGACCGGUGCCAGCCGCCGCGGUAACACCGGCAGCUCUAGUGGUAGCAGUUUUUAUUGGGCCUAAAGCGUCCGUAGCCGGUUUAAUAAGUCUCUGGUGAAAUCCUGCAGCUUAACUGUGGGAAUUGCUGGAGAUACUAUUAGACUUGAGAUCGGGAGAGGUUAGAGGUACUCCCAGGGUAGAGGUGAAAUUCUGUAAUCCUUGGAGGACCGCCUGUUGCGAAGGCGUCUAACUGGAACGAUUCUGACGGUGAGGGACGAAAGUUAGGGGCGCGAACCGGAUUAGAUACCCGGGUAGUCCUAACUGUAAACGAUGCGGACUUGGUGUUGGGGUGGCUUUGAGCUGCUCCAGUGCCGAAGGGAAGCUGUUAAGUCCGCCGCCUGGGAAGUACGGUCGCAAGACUGAAACUUAAAGGAAUUGGCGGGGGAG
rnacentral:rRNA from 1 species